rnacentral:misc_RNA from 1 species
GGGGAGUGAAGACGGAAUAGCCCAA